rnacentral:rRNA from 1 species
UACGUAGGCAGCGAGCGUUGUUCGGAGUUACUGGGCGUAAAGGGUGCGUAGGCGGUUGUUUAAGUUUGGUGUGAAAUCUCCCGGCUCAACUGAAGGGUGCGCCGAAUACUGAAUGACUAGAGUGCGGGAGAGGAUAGUGGAAUUCCUGGUGUAGCGGUGAAAUGCGUAGAGAUGCGGAGGAACACCGAUGGCGAAGGCAGCCCCCUGGGCUAACACUGACGCUCAGGCACGAAAGCGUGGGGAGCAAACAGG